UCGGGAGCAUCUCAAGCAGCGUGGAUGAGGUUGUGACCGUGAGCCAACGAGGGGAGAUGGGCAAACACUCCGUUCUGUUGCAAGUGUCCUGGGGCUUGCUGGAGCAGCAGGAGUGGCCAGAAGAAAAGAAAAAAGCUGUUGGUGCUGCUCUGAAAAUCCCUGUUUGGAAAGGAUUGGGAAGGUGGAAACUUGGAAGCCCACAAGUGAAACGGGGCUAUAAGAAAAUGAUUUAUUUUCAGGAUCUGGAUGUAGGAAUUUCAAACAUCAGAGGUAGUUUGGGGCAGGGUAUAACAAGAAUUAUCUGUACAGUUCUUUAAUUGUUAAUCCCUUCUCACUGCUUGUUUAAAAUAUAUUUUAUGUGACCUCAAUUAAACUUAUUUGUGUUUAAA